GGAUGAGCUGUGGAUAGGGGUGAAAGGCUAAACAAAUCCGGAAAUAGCUGGUUCUCCCCGAAAACUAUUUAGGUAGUGCGUCGUACGGACACUUGCGGGGGUAGAGCACUGUAAUCGUUGGGGGGUCAUUGCGAUCUACCCCGCGAUAGCAAACUCCGAAUACCGCAAAGUGAUAUACGGCAGACAGACAUCGGGUGCUAACGUCCGGUGUCAAGAGGGAAACAACCCAGACCGCCAGCUAAGGUCCCAAAUGCAUGGCUAAGUGGCAAACGAGGUGGGAAGGCAUAGACAGCUAGGAGGUUGGCUUAGAAGCAGCCAUCCUUUAAAGAAAGCGUAAUAGCUCACUAGUCGAGUCGUCCUGCGCGGAAGAUGUAACGGGGCUCAAGCCAUGAACCGAAGCUGCGGAUGUGUC
rnacentral:rRNA from 1 species